GACGAACGCUGGCGGUAUGCUUAACACAUGCAAGUCGAACGAGACGAAAGAGAAGUGCUUGCACGGAUCUUUUAGAAAGUGGCGAACGGGUGAGUAACGCGUGGGUAACCUGCCCUAUGGAAAGGAAUAGCCUCGGGAAACUGGGAGUAAUGCCUUAUAAGAUACAUUUGUCGCAUGGCAGAAGUAUUAAACGCUCCGGUGCCAUAGGAUGGACCCGCGUCCCAUUAGCUAGUUGGUGAGAUAACAGCCCACCAAGGCGACGAUGGGUAACCGGUCUGAGAGGGCGAACGGUCACACUGGAACUGAGACACGGUCCAGACUCCUACGGGAGGAAGCAGUGGGGAAUAUUGCGCAAUGGGGGCAACCCUGACGCAGCAAUACCGCGUGAGUGAAGAAGGUUUUCGGAUCGUAAAGCUCUGUUAUUGGGGAAGAAAAAAGACGGUACCCAAGAAGAAAGUCCCGGCUAACUACGUGCCAGCCGCCGCCGUAACAC
rnacentral:rRNA from 1 species